CUACCGGGGUUUCUAAUCCUGUUCGCUCCCCACGCUUUCGCUCCUCAGCGUCAGUAACAGCCCAGUGACCUGCCUUCGCCAUCGGUGUUCCUCCUGAUAUCUGCGCAUUCCACCGCUACACCAGGAAUUCCAGUCACCCCUACCGCACUCUAGCCUGCCCGUACCCACUGCACGUACGGAGUUAAGCCCCGCAUUUUCACAGCAGACGCGACAAGCCGCCUACGAGCCCUUUACGCCCAAUAAUUCCGGACAACGCUCGCGCCCUACGUAUUACCGCGGCUGCUGGCAC
rnacentral:rRNA from 1 species